rnacentral:rRNA from 1 species
GCGGAGGAAAAGAAACUAACAAGGAUUCCCCUAGUAACGGCGAGUGAAGAGGGAAGAGCCCAAGUUUGAAAGCUGGCGUCUUCGGCGUCCGCAUUGUAAACUCGAGAAGCGUUUUCCGCGCCGGACCAAGCUCAAGUCCCUUGGAAUAGGGCAUCAUAGAGGGUGAGAGUCCCGUACUUGGCUUGGAGUCCCCGGGGCUUUGUGAUACGCUCUCCAAGAGUCGAGUUGUUUGGGAAUGCAGCUCAAAAUGGGUGGUAAAUGCCAUCUAAGGCUAAAUAUCGAGGAGAGACCGAUAGCGAACAAGUACCGUGAGGGAAAGAUGAAAAGAACUUUGGAAAGAGAGUUAAACAGUACGUGAAAUUGCCGGAAGGGAAGGGUAGGGAGUCAGAUAUGCUGUGCGGAUUCAGCCUUGUCUUUGGACUUGGUGUAUUUUCGUAUUGGCAGGCCAGCAUCGGUUUGUGCCGCUGGAUAUAGGCUUGGGGAAUGUGGCUUUGUCUUCGGUCAAAGUGUUAUAGCCCCUUGCUGAGUACAGCGGCAUGGACCGAGGCACGCAGCGCACCCUCUGGGCGGGCCCUCGGGCACCUUUGCGCUUAGGAUGCUGGCUUAAUGGCUCUCUGCCACCCGUCUU